rnacentral:lncRNA from 1 species
GGAGUCGGCUCCUUUUUGUAAAGCAGUCACCUCAGAAUAUCAGGUCUCUGGUGUAAAGCCUGGGUCUCUCCUCUCUGGUUUAUUGUCCUUGUUUAUACUGUCAUGACCCUGAAGUUGAAACUGUGUAGGUUUUACUCUGGCCAGGAGUGUUACUGCAGUUUAGCUCUACUGUUCUGCUCCUAUUUCUCUCUACCACUUCUCCCUGAAGUGUGCACUCGUUCACUACCACUUCUCCCUGAAGUGUGCACUCGUUCACUACCACUUCUCCCUGAAGUGUGCACUCGUUCACUACCACUUCUCCCUGAAGUGUGCACGCUUUGUGAGAGAGAUACAGGUGACGUAAAUGGACACAAACUACUUGGCCAUUUCUUGACGAGCUCAAGUGUGACAUGUUUUUGUCGUUGCAGGUAUGGGCGCUUGGCGCUGGCCAGACUGGAUGAGGAAGUGAGGCUGAGAGAGAGGUCUGCAGAGAGACAACGGCUACCUGGGACUGCGGCAGGAGAGGACCUUUGGGCAGAGGAGAGAGGUCUGCAGAGAGACAACGGCUACUUGGGACUGCGGCAGGAGAGGACCUUUGGGCAGGUUCCUGCAGCGUGUGUCAGGGUGGAGUUACCUGACCCAUGGAGAAUUACUUCCAGACAGAGGCCUUCAACCUGGACAAGGUGCUGGAUGACUUUGAACAGAACCAAGACUGUA